GUUAAAUUCACCAUGUGACGUAUUUCAAAUCUAUUAUAUAUUUCAAUAUAUUUAAACUGUGUGGGGAUUGCUCGAAAUAAAUAUUGAGGACUAUAAUACCAUCUAUAGAAGGCUAUAUUGUUUCUUAACAAGAUCAAGAAAGUUAGCCUACCAAGAAUGUCAUCCGAAUAGAAUCUACCAGCUCCAUAUUUGCCGAUAAAUCGAAUGAGUCUUCUAAAAUAAGUAUUGGAUGACUGCUGAAAUACAACAAUUGUGUAGUGCAGCAUGAGUGAUUCCCCAUAAAACCAUCUGGACCUUUAUUAAAUAAUACUGCAUUGGGAUGUAUUACCUAUGGGAAUGUGCCAGUAACAAGCAGAUUUUUAUGUUAACCAGUACGGAAAUACCAGUGAAACCUCGAGCAGAAGAACACGUAGGUGUCGUUUCCUGUAUUGUAAGAAAAAAAAUUGUGGCACUUGGAGACUGCCGCGGUAAAGCUAUUGCAUAGCAUUUUUUAUCAACUUAUGCAAUUAUAAUUAUUUAUUUAUUUUAUUC